GAUUGAAUUAUUGUCCAGCCCUCAUUUGAAUAUUAAAGCUCUUUUGUCUCUUAGGUAGUGUUGGCACAAUGAGCUCUCACCAAAGACCUGGAACUCCCAAGGGCUGUUAUUUGUCCAAGACUGAGUGGCUAAAGUCCUUUGGUGGUAUUAGGUUGCACGUAUGUAGUACACUCAAACAGGUAAGAAUAUGCACUUACCAUGUCAUUCCAUUUGAAAUGGUCCCUUUUUAGUUAACUUGUACCUCAGUGCUCAAUUCCAUCUGUAACCUAUGAUGAUUUUUGCAGUCUCGUUCGUCUGAAGUCCUGCUGAUAAAUUAACGUUUACUGAUGUUACAGAUUUGGCAUUUGUGUAUCCGCAUUUUUGUAGCUCUCCUCUCUGAAGAUUUU